rfam:Myotis davidii contig93885, whole genome shotgun sequence.
GGCAGUUCUUGGGUGACGCACCCUGGAAUCGGGCUCCCUCCUCUCUGGUUCUGGGGUGUGUCACUGGAGAACCGCC